UACGUAGGGUGCAAGCGUUAAUCGGAAUUACUGGGCGUAAAGCGUGCGCAGGCGGUGAUGUAAGACAGGUGUGAAAUCCCCGGGCUUAACCUGGGAACUGCAUUUGUGACUGCAUCGCUGGAGUGCGGCAGAGGGGGAUGGAAUUCCGCGUGUAGCAGUGAAAUGCGUAGAUAUGCGGAGGAACACCGAUGGCGAAGGCAAUCCCUGGACCUGUACUGACGCUCAUGCACGAAAGCGUGUGGAGCAAACAGG
rnacentral:rRNA from 1 species